rnacentral:SRP_RNA from 2 species
GCCGGGCGUGGUGGCGGGCGCCUGUAGUCCCAGCUACUCCGGAGGCUGAGGCAGGAGAAUGGCGUGAACCCGGGAGGCGGAGCUUGCAGUGAGCCGAGAUCACGCCACUGCACUCCAGCCUGGGCAACAGAGCGAGACUCCGUCUCAGAAAAAAAAAAAAAAAGAAAAAAUGUUCCUGGGGUCGACAGACUUUCUUUUGUUUUGAGACACAGUCUCACUCUGUCGCCCAGGCUGGAGUGCAGUGGCAUGAUCUCGGCUCACUGCAGUUUCUGCAUCCUGGGCUAAAGUGAUUCUCCUGCCUCAG